rnacentral:rRNA from 1 species
AUUGAACGCUAGCGGGAUGCUUUACACAUGCAAGUCGAACGAGUGGCGGACGGGUGAGUGAGAUAGCGGAACGUGGCCAAUCGCGGGGGCAAAGUACUCGAAAGAGUGGAUACUACCGCAAAAGAUUGGAUCGGCCGAUAUCGGAUUAGCUAGUUGGUGGGGUAAAGGCUCACCAAGGCAACGAUCCGUCGCUGGUUUAAGAGGACGACCAGCCACACGGGGACUGAGACACGGCCCAGACUCCUACGGGAGGCAGCAGUGGGGAAUUUUGGACCAUGGGGGAAACCCGGAUCCAGCCAUCCCGCGUGUAUGAGAAGGCCUUCGGGUUGUAAAGUACUUUUGGCAGAGAAGCGGUAUCUGCAGAAUAAGCACCGGCUAACUACGUGCCAGCAGCCGCGGUAAUUC